CACCCACCACCACCACCACCACCACCAGCUACGCUGUUCUCUUUGAGAGCUCUUUCAACGUGCGCGGCUUUGACUUCCAGGGGUGUGUGCGUGACGGGAAAGGCAUGGGGUGACAUUUGCAUGCGGCACUCUGAAGUGAUUCGACGGAGACCGCCUGAUUGAUGACUGAGAUCUCCUCCAUCUUACGGCUGAUUAUCGCCCGAGACCCCGGCGCCCGCGUCUCUCUCCACAUGCUCGUGCAGAGCGGCGCCUUGCAGGCGACGUGGGCUGAAUUGGAGUGCGCUUGGUGCCGAGCCAAGGCACUGCCCAUCUCAGCAGACAGGCACACACACACACACGCCAGUGUGCAGGUACACCAAUACACACACACACGUCAGCAUGCACACACACACACACACACACACACACACACACACACACACACGUCAGUGUGCACAUACUCACACACGUCAGUGUGCACAUACUCACACACACAAACACACGUCAGCGCGCACACACACAAACACACUGACAUGCACGCAGGCACACACACAAACACACACACACACACACACACACUUGGGCUCACACACCCACACAAGCACACGCACACACACAAAGAGUCUAAUACAAUUUAUAGCCUCGCUAGGGUUGUUUAUAGGAUGUGUCAGCGCUGUGAGUUAGUGGGAAUUCUGCUAUUCGGAAUUACGAGACAAACCCCCCCCCCCCCCUUGUGUUUUCAAGUGGAGGGCCGCAGGAGGAAUGAGUGUGGCUCCUCUGACUCCAACUCCCUCGUCUCUGGUGUCCUCUCAAGGUUACACUGCUGAGGAGGGCUUUGCUGUUUCGUCCGGUGGUUCCUGUAUUCAUACGUCUCAAAGCUCCUACGUUAACCCGACCACCGGCCACAGCGUGGGGACAUUGAAGAUCUUUAACGCUCACACGUUUCCUUAUGCUUCCAUGGAGAUGCUUGUUUACGUGUUAUUUCAAAUACCUCGUUGUUUGGCUGUGUAGGAAGAAAUCGAAUUGCCACAACCGCAACUGCUUUAGACUGUCUGGAAUGCCAAAUGUAAAAAAAUAAAUGACUACAGGUUUGUUAUGCGUAAGGAUUCAUUGACGUGUGUAAACAUAAAUGAUAUAUAACCGUCCAAUACCUGACUUGCAUUGUAACCGUCUGACCUUUCAGCCUCCCCCUCCCACACACACACCCAUCUGUCAGCUUACUGGGAGCGAGUCCAGAAUCUCAGGGGCUCUUUUGGCCCGGACCACUUGGAUCAGCCUCUCAUAACAUAGAACACUUGGCAUCUCCAGUGCUUCGCUGGCGAUAUGGGCGUUCAAACACAGUUUUUGUCCCACCGAGAAGAGUCCUCGCCGGGCUAUGGAGCUGUAGUGUUUGGCGGGACAUGACCCGUGAUGCACCUCAAGAACGUGUGCUUAAACUUUUUAGGUCUGUUCGAGGAAAUAUGCAUGGCUAGUGUUUUCACUCAGCUGCUCCUUGUACUGCUGAAUGGUCUGCCAAACCUCCCACCACAAUAAAAGGAUGACUGACUAAAGGCCCAGAUGCUGUAUGUUAUUCAUGUACAUGGUAAACAGUGUCAUGUUUAGCCCGCAAAGACAACUCAAAAUACCUAAAUUGCCACAUUUGAAUUUGGCUCCAGCUUGAACUUUUAGCGACGGCCGGAUCAUUUCUAAACAUGUCCUUCAGGGGGCACUGUUGUACCAGCGUGCGGCACGAGUAAACACUUCGGAGGAGUGAACUAGUCGCUCUGUUGACUAUCCUGUAUCAGCGUCCUCACUGUGUAAGACAAUGGCACUAUGUUUUUAUCCAAUCUAACCUCUACCUGGCGAGAGAGAGAGAGAGAGAGAGAGAGAGAGAGAGAGAGAGAGAGAGAGAGAGAGAGAGAGAGAGAGAGAGAGAGAGAGAGAGAGAGAGAGAGAGAGAGAGAGAGAGAGAGAGAGAGAGAGAGAGAGAGAGUGGCACUUUCCCCCCCUGCAGCAAAUUAAAUAGCAAUCCCAUUAUCGAAAGAAAAAAACAAAGAUAACACUUGAUUCGAUACUGCCAUUGUAGGACCAAAACAGGAAGCAUGCUAAAUUCCAGUUGCAGAAUAUCCAACAAUGGAAAUGAGUUGGACAGGCAAGGGGCUGCAUUAGCUCAGUAGGCUGCCUAGGUAUCUGUAAGGUUGCUAGUUUGAUGCCCCGGCCCUUCCCCUGUCCCCCGAUUUAGACAGGAGGGACCCCAAACUACGAAGGCUGUUGGUGGCUUUCAAGGCUGGUUGUGUGACGGACACGCUGUGAAUGAGAAUGAGAGUGCGUAUGGGUAAAGGCCAGGCAUAAAUUGGAAAGGGAUUUUUCCCCGGGUAGGCUCUGUAAAGCGCUAUAUAAAUGCAGUCCGUUUACCAUGUAAUUCAAUGUUUCUCAAUGAGGAACUCAUGAAUACCGGGAUGGGUUUUGACUGGCGGCCUCAAGCCCAAGAGCUCAUUGGAAAAACUCAAUCUAUGAAUACUUAUGUCAACAGUAUUGUACGGCUGCAUUGAUAUCGCCGCCCAACAGUUUAGUACUCUUGUUCUGUCCCCCUUUCGCGUUACAUCAGCCGACUCAAAGGGCUGACGUUUCACCCCUUAUGAUUUCAUCACCUUCUGUAAAGUCUACUCUCUUUUCUUUUUUUAUCUUAUUUUUUACCUUCUCAGGCCCAGACUCCAUUUUUAAAAGGGUGGACUAGCCUCCUCUCUCUCCCCCUCGCUCUCUCUCUGCCCUUCAUAUGCGAUGGUCUCUCUGCGUUAAUGAGCGCGUGUCUAAAAAUACGCUCCCUUGGCCAGAGAGCUGGAUAUACACGGUACGGCAUGGCUCCUAAUGGAUGUUAAUGGCCGAAAAAACCUCCAAGCAGAGUAAUGAAUGGUGGCAUCUCCGCUCAGCAUGCACACACAGCAGCACUACCACCACCACCACCACCACCAAACCCACUGGAUUCCAUCGCUAUGGACUGGAGCGAGCAGCCGAACACACAAACACAUUCUUUUUGUACUUUGCUGCUGCUAGUGUUCCCUGUUGCUAUGGUAACACACACCGUAUAAACCUCUCUCUCUCUCUCUCUCUCUCUCUCUCUCUCUCUCUCUCUCUCUCUCUCUCUCUCUCUCUCUCUCUCUCUCUCUCUCUCUCUCUCUCUCUCUCUCUCUCUCUCUCUCUCUCUCUCUCUCUCUCUCUCUCUCUGAAAGGUUCAAGCUUAUGUCAUAAUGUUAUUCGGUUUUAAAAUUUCAUUCCUGCCAUGACGGCUUCCCGGCUCCCCCCUUUGGGGCAUUGGUGGUCUUUGUAAUUGCUGCAAAUGUUCCCCCCCCCCCCCCCCAUUUGAUGGAUGAGGAGAAUGUUCGAACUGAACUUUGUUUCUGGGCAGGAAAAAAAGAAGGUAGUAUCCGGGGUUGAUGGAUGGAACCAUCUCCGCCCGGCUGCUAAUUAAUUGACAUGCUCCGUUCAGUGCCAGGAAAAUGGAUUCGGUUCUGAUAGAUGUGUGCUCAGGUGCGCGGGCAUUUGGGUCAAGCCUACAUCACCCGGGCUACUUAACAUGCAAAUCAAAUAAAGAUGUCUCGGAGGAUAUUAUUUAUUUGUUCUAGCGGUGCUCACCCGAGCUGCUGUUGGAUUUGGUCGUUGUUACAGGUCAGGGUUUGUAGGUCAGAGAAGCUCAUAGUCUCUGGUUGGCUGCUUCAGGAGAAGGACCACGAUCCACGCCCUGUUUUGGCGGUGGAAAUGUGCAUGACCCGAUGAGAAACCCCACCCUCUGAUGUGGUGACGUUGCUCAUCGUAAGCCAUGUUUACAACUGUAUUUUUGGGUCGUUUAAGUGUGCCAGGGUUUGGGCAUGUAACCCGAAACUUUUAAAAAACAAACGCGUUCUCUUUGUCAUUGCUAGAGAACUCUGUUUGCUCAUGACCUCUGGAAGUGAAUACUCAGAAACAGGAACACCAGUUUGUGCUGAAAGGUUUGAUCCCUUUGUAGGAUCAAAGUGGAGGAGGACUGUUGUCCUCUCCAACCAGCAAAAGAGGGAGAAAAUAGCAUACAAAAAGAGUGAGAGAAAGAGAAACAG
ensembl:lncRNA